rnacentral:rRNA from 1 species
CAAUAGCGUAUAUUAAAGUUGUUGCGGUUAAAAAGCUCGUAGUUGGAUUUCUGCUGAGAACGACCGGUCCGCCCUUUGGGUGUGUAUCUGGCUCUUUCUUGGCAUCUUCUUGGUGAACGUUGCUGCACUUGACUGUGUGGAGCGCUACCCAGGACUUUUACUUUGAGGAAAUUAGAGUGUUUCAAGCAGGCAUACGCCUUGAAUACAUUAGCAUGGAAUAAUAAGAUAGGACCUCGGUUCUAUUUUGUUGGUUUCAGGAAUCAAGGUCAUGAUUAAUAGGGACAGUCGGGGGCAUUCGUACUUAACUGUCAGAGGUGAAAUUCUUGGAUUUGUUAAAGACGAACUAAUGCGAAANCANNNGCCAAGGAUGUUUUCAUNGA